GGGAGGUGUGAUCCCCUGCUUCCUGGGAGGUGUGAUCCCGUGCUCCCUGGGAGGUGUGAUCCUGUGCUCCCU
rnacentral:pre_miRNA from 1 species